rnacentral:tRNA from 1 species
AGCAGCGUGGCUCAGUAGAAAGAGCGUGGGCUUUAGAAUCACAGGUCAUGAGUUCGAAUCCCAGCUCUGCCA